UUUCCGUAGGUGAACCUGCGGAAGGAUCAUUAGUAAAUUGAAUAUGUUAGAGGUCUUCUUCGGAGUCCCUAGCUUCAAAUCAUAUCUAUAACACUUGUGUACUGUCAGUCUGUCUUGAAAACGAAAGUAAUUAGAGCGAAUGCCCAUUUUAUACGAACAUCAAAGUCACUAACGCAUUAUUUAUAAUAUCUAUAAAAACUUUCAACAACGGAUCUCUCUGCUCUCGCUCCGAUCAAGAAAGCAGCAGACAGGACGGGAACACGCAUGACUUCACGCCAC
rnacentral:misc_RNA from 1 species